GUUAUGAAAAGGUCACAUAUUACCUUCUCUAAUGUUUUGAUUCCUUAAAAAUUAAUUUCAAGUUUGAACCAACUUAGGGGUUUUAUUGUUUUAGUAAAAGGCUUGAUCAAGAUGGGGAGUCUGGAGCAAGUCUUCUUUCUUCCUCCCCUUCUCAGAAUAUUUUCCAUUCUUUUCCUUUUUUUCCUGUACCCAACCAGCCUAAAUCUGCUUCAAGUUCUACAUGCAUAUAGCCUCAACUAUCAGCCACUAGCCUGAAUAAGGGUUUCUGGUCUGACUUAGCUCAGAUUUGAUUAUACUGGCUUGGUCUGCUCUUGAAGCAGCCCCUAUAAACCCUUUCCGAUGCUCAAAUCAAUCUCUUAAUUGUCUAUAAACAUGCUGUCUCAAUACUCAGCUCUUAUAGAGCCCUCAGCUUACUAAUCGUGACCAGCCUACCACUAAGUGCAGAUUUUUGAUCAUCAAGCUGGUCUGUUGCUCACAUCACUCCAUCCAUUGCUG
rnacentral:lncRNA from 1 species